rnacentral:rRNA from 1 species
CAGUAGCACGGUAAUACGAAGGGUGCAAGCGUUACUCGGAAUUACUGGGCGUAAAGCGUGCGUAGGUGGUGGUUUAAGUCCGUUGUGAAAGCCCUGGGCUCAACCUGGGAAUUGCAGUGGAUACUGGGUCACUAGAGUGUGGUAGAGGAUAGUGGAAUUUCCGGUGUAGCAGUGAAAUGCGUAGAGAUCGGAAGGAACAUCUGUGGCGAAGGCGACUAUCUGGGCCAACACUGACACUGAGGCACGAAAGCGUGGGGAGCAAACAGGAUUAGAUACCCCCGUAGUCCCUGUCUCUUAUACA